UGAAUCCGGGGAAGCAUCGUCGAAGCCCCGGAGAGUUUGAACAAGCUCAGAAUGAAGCUGCUAUGAAAGGCUGCGAGCCCAGGAAGCCUACCGGUGGGGAUCAAUGCCUACCGGUACAAACCCAUACCUACCGGUAGAGAACCUUUCCUACCGGUUCAAAUUCAUUCCAGUAAGGCCAUAAUCUGCACCGUUCAAGACCUACAGGUAGGGGUAGGGCUGUCCAUCAAACCGACCCACCCAACCACCCGACCCGACUCGACCCGAAAAUAGAAAGAACGGACGGGUCCGAUCAUCCAUUCGGGUCGGGGUCGGAUUGAUUUCGUCGGGUUUCACAUUUAGUCGGUCGGGUGUCGGAUGCACCAGAUAACUUCUCGGAUGACCCGACCCGACCGACGAUAUUUGUAUAAAAGCAAAAAAACCCUAUUUCCUCACAUUUUGUCACCGACCUUUUCUAAUUCUUCUCCACCUCCACUGCUUUUUCUUCGGUCUCACUGUACCGGUCCCACCCAGUCACCCACAAUCCUCCAACCCCCCUAAUCGAUCGACGGAUUGAGUCAUCAGACGAUCACCCAAGAAGGCAAGAACCCUAAUCUAGGUCUCCGUGACUCGGAACCUCCGCCUAUAGUGGAACAAGAAAAUGGGGGCAAUGGACAAUGGUGGCUGUCCCAAAUUACAACAACCAUGAAGAAAGGGGAGGCGAGAGGUUGCUUUCCGGAAAACAAGGGAGUAGUUGCCUGAUUCUUGCUUCUUUUUUUGUUUUUUGUUUUUUUUUUGUAUGGCUGCUGUUUGGGUUGGCUGGAAAUGUUGAUCUGGUGAUGGUUGAUGAUGUUGCAGUUGCAGUUGCACAAUUCUUGCUUCUUUCUUUCUCUCUCUCUCUUUCUGUAUGGGUGCUGCAGUGUUGCUGAUAGUUGAAUCUGGAUGACUGGAUCUUCGGGAGACCAAACCUGGCCGAACCCGACCCGAACUCAUCAGCACUCGGUUCAGUUGGAAUCCGACCAGUGUUUCGGUCAGGCUCGGGUGGCAAUUAACUAAUCCGACAAAAUUCG